rfam:Oceanimonas sp. GK1, complete genome.
CGUUGGUCCUCCCGCAUCGAAACCUUGUCUACCUGGUCAGGCCCGGAAGGGAGCAGCCACGGCGAGGAGCUUCGAGUGCCGGGAUGUGGCUGGCGGGC